ACAAGGUUUCCGUAGGUGAACCUGCGGAAGGAUCAUUACCGAGUGCGGGUCCUUUGGGCCCAACCUCCCAUCCGUGUCUAUUGUACCCUGUUGCUUCGGCGGGCCCGCCGCUUGUCGGCCGCCGGGGGGGCGCCUCUGCCCCCCGGGCCCGUGCCCGCCGGAGACCCCAACACGAACACUGUCUGAAAGCGUGCAGUCUGAGUUGAUUGAAUGCAAUCAGUUAAAACUUUCAACAAUGGAUCUCUUGGUUCCGGCAUCGAUGAAGAACGCAGCGAAAUGCGAUAACUAAUGUGAAUUGCAGAAUUCAGUGAAUCAUCGAGUCUUUGAACGCACAUUGCGCCCCCUGGUAUUCCGGGGGGCAUGCCUGUCCGAGCGUCAUUGCUGCCCUCAAGCCCGGCUUGUGUGUUGGGUCGCCGUCCCCCUCUCCGGGGGGACGGGCCCGAAAGGCAGCGGCGGCACCGCGUCCGAUCCUCGAGCGUAUGGGGCUUUGUCACAUGCUCUGUAGGAUUGGCCGGCGCCUGCCGACGUUUUCCAACCAUUCUUUCCAGGUUGACCUCGGAUCAGGUA
rnacentral:rRNA from 1 species